rnacentral:tRNA from 4 species
GCGCCUAUAGCUCAGGGGAUAGAGCGCCGGUCUCCGGAACCGGGUGCGCAGGUUCGAAUCCUGCUAGGUGCACCA